AGCUUCUACGGAAGCGAAGUUGGUGACGUCAAGCUUCCAAGAAAAGCCCUAUACCCGUUAAGGCAUGAUUACCUGUACCCGAAACCGACACAGGUGGGGUGGUAGAGAAUACCGAGGGGCGCGAGGUAACUCUCUCUAAGGAACUCGGCAAAAUGACCCCGUAACUUCGGGAGAAGGGGUGCCAGCGCGAGCUGGUCGCAGUGAAUAGGCCCAGGCGACUGUUUACCAAAAACACAGGUCUCCGCUAAGUCGCAAGACGAUGUAUGGGGGCUGACGCCUGCCCAGUGCCGGAAGGUUAAAGAAGUUGGUCAGCGCAAGCGAAGCUAACGACUGAAGCCCCGGUGAACGGCGGCCGUAACAAUAACGGUCCUAAGGUAGCGAAAUUCCUUGUCGGGUAAGUUCCGACCCGCACGAAAGGCGUAACGAUCUGGGCGCUGUCUCGGAGAGAGGCUCGGCGAAAUAGAAUUGUCUGUGAAGAUGCGGACUACGUGCACCCGGACAGAAAGACCCUAUGAAGCUUUACUGUAGCUUGGUAUUGUGCUCGGGCUCGCAAUGCGCAGGAUAGGUGGGAGGCUUUGAUCCAUUGCUUGUGGGUGAUGGUGAGCCACUGGUGAGAUACCACUCUUUGCGAGCUAGGGUUCUAACGGUUACCCGUCAUCCGGGAACCGGACAGUAUCUGGUGGGCAGUUUGACUGGGGCGGUCGCCUCCUAAAAGGUAACGGAGGCGCGCAAAGGUUUGCUCAGGCUGGUUGGAAAUCAGCCGACGAGUGUAAAAGCAGAAGCAAGCUUGACUGUGAGACCUACAAGUCGAACAGGGAGGAAACUCGGCUUUAGUGAUCCGACGGUUCUGAGUGGAAGGGCCGUCGCUCAACGGAUAAAAGUUACUCUAGGAUAACAGGCUGAUCUCCCCCAAGAGUUCACAUCGACGGGGAGGUUUGGCACCUCGAUGUCGGCUCAUCGCAACCUGGGGCUGAAGUCGGUCCCAAGGGUUGGGCUGUUCGCCCAUUAAAGCGGUACGCGAGCUGGGUUCAGAACGUCGUGAGACAGUUCGGUCCAUAUCCGGUGCAUGCGCAGGAAUAUUGAGAGGAUUUCUCCCUAGUACGAGAGGACCGGGAGGAACGCACCUCUGGUGUACCAGUUAUCGUGCCAACGGUAAACGCUGGGUAGCCAUGUGCGGAGUGGAUAACCGCUGAAAGCAUCUAAGUGGGAAGCCCACCUCAAGAUGAGUAUUCCCAUGGCUUAAGCCAGUAAGGUCACGGGAAGAACACCCGUUGAUAGGCUCUAUGUGGAAGCGCAGUAAUGCGUGAAGCAGAGGAGUACUAAUAGACCGAGGGCUUGACC
rnacentral:rRNA from 1 species